ACGCACUGUUCUGGGAGCCGGGGAUCACAGCUGAGAAAAGAACAGACAAAAGUCCUUGCCCCUAUGGAGUUCAUUUUGACAAGAGAGACAGACAAUAAAUGAGGCAAACAAAUAAAAUAUGUAUUGUGUUGGGAAGUAAAGAGGCCAAGGAGAAGGAAAAAAAAUGGUAAGGGGCUAGAGAGUUCUGUGGUGAGGGCCCAGUGUUCACUAGGGUGACCUGGGAAGGCUUCCCUGAGAGGAAGUCAUCUGAGUAGAUCCUAAAGGAGGAGCCCUGGGGAUGUUCCAGGCAGAGAAACGGCCAGUGCAAGGGCGCCGAGAGGGGAGCACGUCUCAGGAAAGAAAACUGGCUCAGAGAGGCUGAGUCACCUGCUCAAGAUGACACAGCUUGUGGGUGGCUGAGUUGGCCUUCCAACCCAGAUUCCUGUCAUGUUCCUCAAGCCGACAGGUUCAGCUUGGUUGUGACCUCUGCUGGAAGCCCUCCCUGGCCCCCUGUGCACUGAGCUGGCGGUUCCUCCUCUGUGCCCCAGGAGCUGUGAUGUAAGAAGUCUGCAUACCCUCUUGGAGAAAUCCACAUGGAGAGGAGAUGUGGAAAAGCCACAUGGAGAAGGAGGGGCCCAUAGAGGACAGAAAGAGAGAAGGAAUCCCAGCAAUGCACUAGUCCCAGCCGAGCCCAGCCCUUCGGGUCCUUUCCAGGGUGCCCGACAUAUAAGGCCACCAUCUUGACUCAGCCAGCCCAGUCUAGCUCCCAGAUGACUUCAGUUCCAGCUGCCAUCUGGCUGCAGCAGCAUAAAAGUCCCUCAGUGAGAUCAGUGGAAGAACUGCCCAGCCAACUUAUAAAGUUGUGAGAGAUAAUAAAUGUUUGUUGUCCAUUUUAAGCCACUGCAUUUUAGAGUGGUUUGAUACAUACAGGUAGAUAACCAAAAAGUAAGUGCCUAGGACAGCGCCUGCCAUACAGCAGGCAUUCAAUAAAUAUUGACUGACUAAAUGA